rnacentral:rRNA from 1 species
UACGGGGGGGGCAAGCGUUGUUCGGAAUUACUGGGCGUAAAGGGCUCGUAGGCGGCCAACUAAGUCGGAUAUGAAAUCCCCAGGCUUAACCUGGGAACUGCAUCCGAUACUGGAUGGCUUGAAUCCGGGAGAGGGAUGCGGAAUUCCAGGUGUAGCGGUGAAAUGCGUAGAUAGCUGGAGGAACACCGGUGGCGAAGGCGGCAUCCUGGACCGGCAUUGACGCUGAGGAGCGAAAGCCAGGGGAGCAAACGGG